UUUCAUAUUUACUUGUUGUCCACUGCCAGCUGCGCUUUCAGUCGUUGGUGUUAGAACGAAAUCAUAGGGGAAGAGCUCUGCAUUUGGCAAAUUCACGUAUUCCAAGGGUUACAGAUGCAAUGAUGUUGACAAUCCCGCUUCUUUUACGCCUGUCGUUAACUUUUUACGAUGAUCUGAGCAAAAACUACUAUUAAUAAUGAAGUUUCGACAUUCAUUUCAGCAAACUGAACAACACUUGAGCGGGAAGAUGAUGCAUGGUGGAAUUCAAUAGUAUGGUAAGAUCUUACUUUGCCAAUGUAUGGGACCGUUAGAUUAGCAAAAAGUGUG